rnacentral:rRNA from 1 species
GGUGAACGCUGGCGGCGUGCUUAAGACAUGCAAGUCGAACGGCAGUCUUCGGACUGUAGUGGCGCACGGGUGAGUAACGCGUAACUGACCUACCCCUAAGUCGCGGAUAACGAUUCGAAAGAAUCGCUAAUACGUGAUGUGCUGUCAGAUUGUGUUCUGCCAGUAAAGAUUGAUUGCUUUGGGAUGGGGUUGCGUUCCAUCUACUAGUUGGUGGGGUAAAGGCCCAGCAAGGCGACGACGGAUAGCCGGCCUGGGGGGGGAGCCGGCCACAGGGGCACUGAGACACGGGUCCCACUCCUACGGGAGGCAGCAGUUAGGAAUCUUCCACAAUGGGCGAAAGCCUGAUGGAGCGACGCCGCGUGAGGGAUGAAGGUCUUCGGAUCGCAAACCUCUGAAUCAGGGACGAAGGACACUUCGGUGGGAUGACGGUACCUGAGUAAUAGCACCGGCUAACUCCGUGCCAGCCGCCGCAGUAAGAC